UCCUCCCUCUGGCGGCGUGCUUAACACAUGCAAGUCGAACGGAAAGGCCCUGCUUUUGUGGGGUGCUCGAGUGGCGAACGGGUGAGUAACACGUGAGUAACCUGCCAUUGACUUUGGGAUAACUUCAGGAAACUUGGGCUAAUACCGGAUAGGAGCUCCUGCUGCAUGGUGGGGGUUGGAAAGUUUCGGCGGUUGGGGAUGGACUCGCGGCUUAUCAGCUUGUUGGUGGGGUAGUGGCUUACCAAGGCUUUGACGGGUAGCCGGCCUGAGAGGGUGACCGGCCACAUUGGGACUGAGAUACGGCCCAGACUCCUACGGGAGGCAGCAGUGGGGAAUAUUGCACAAUGGGCGGAAGCAUGAUGCAGCAACGCCGCGUGCGGGAUGACGGCCUUCGGGUUGUAAACCUCUUUCGCCUGUGACGAAGCGUGAGUGACGGUAAUGGGUAAAGAAGCACCGGCUAACUACGUG
rnacentral:rRNA from 1 species